AAGAUUUUAAGUUAUUUAAACUAAAAACCUUCAAAGUUUUAAAAAAAAGCCAUAAUCUUUUAAAUCUUA
rnacentral:tRNA from 1 species